rfam:Zootermopsis nevadensis contig11364, whole genome shotgun sequence.
GAAACGGUGGUCUAGCGGUUAGAACGCUGGCCUUGUAAUCCUGGGGUCUCGGGUUCGAUUCCCGGCGGUGCCC